rnacentral:rRNA from 1 species
AUUGAACGCUGGCGGCAGGCCUAACACAUGCAAGUCGAACGAGUGGCGGAGGGGUGAGUAAUGUCUGGGAAACUGCCUGAUGGAGGGGGAUAACUACUGGAAACGGUCGCUAAUACCGCAUACUCUCGGAUGCGCCCAGAUGGGAUUGGCUAGUAGGUGGGGUAAUGGCUCACCUAGGCGACGAUCCCUAGCUGGUCUGAGAGGAUGACCAGCCACACUGGAACUGAGACACGGUCCAGACUCCUACGGGAGGCAGCAGUGGGGAAUAUUGCACAAUGGGCGCAAGCCUGAUGCAGCCAUGCCGCGUGUAUGAAGAAGGCCUUCGGGUUGUAAAGUACUUUCAGCGAGGAGGCGUUACUCGCAGAAGAAGCACCGGCUAACUCCGUGCCAGCAGCCGCGGUAAUAC